rnacentral:rRNA from 1 species
GACAGAGGGGGCAAGCGUUGCUCGGAAUUACUGGGCGUAAAGGGCGCGUAGGCGGGAUGGCAAGUCGGUCGUGAAAUCCCUCGGCUCAACCGAGGAACGUCGAUCGAUACUGCUGUUCUUGAGGAUUGCAGAGGAGACUGGAAUUCCCGGUGUAGCGGUGAAAUGUGUAGAGAUCGGGAGGAACACCGGUGGCGAAAGCAGACGACUGGGGCUGAGCUGACGCUGAGACACGAAAGCCAGGGGAGCAAACGGG